GUGUUCACUUCAGCAGCACAUAUACUAAAAUGGGACCCUUACAAAGAUUAGCAUGGCCCCUGCACGAGGAUGAUACGCAAAUCCACGAGGCAUUCCACAUUCUU